UUGUGCCUAGUUCAAGCUGAGCUGGUGAAGUCUGGUUAGGACCACCAACCCUCCAACUGGGCAUGUGCAAGUGUCCUCCUGGUGACCUUUUGACGUCUGAGGACUGAAAUCUCCCCCCUCAGGUCAUGCUAAGUGCCUUCAUUUUUUUAACCUGCAGAGACCGUAGCUUGGUUACACCUGUACAGAAAGGCUAUCCCCAAACUUUUUUCCAGCCGCCUUUCCCCACGCUCCCUACGCCUCAGACCACCCUGCUGCUUUAUUCUUUAUCCUGCAAAUACCCCAGCCCCUUGUGACCCAGGGAGGCAGAUCUGAAGUUUGUUCUAUCUCCUUGCUUGGCUGACUUGAGAAUAAACCCUCUCUUCGUUGCAAACCUCGGCUUGCUGCAGAAUGAGCCUGGUUCGGUAACGAGAGCGUGGCCAGAGAGAGGGGCUUUGCUUUCUGAAGCUUCGAGAAGGGAUGAUUUCAUGGUAAAAAGUCCUGUGUGAUGUGCCGGGUGGAGAGUGGCAAAGGGUCUGUCGACUGGAGGAGCAGAGAGCUGUCCACUGGAGCCUGCGUGCAAGGCAAGGUUGUACCACCAAAUUUGGAGUUUUCGGAGCUUCGGGGGAAUUCGGGCGUUGCAGAUAAGGGAUUGUGGAGAUGAACAUCAAAGGAAAUACAUGUAUAUACAUAACAACGGAUAUUUAUUGGAUGUAGGCAAAGGACUGACCCAACUGGAGGUACACUUUUGAAGGACACUCUCACUGCUCCGUGGAGAACAGAUUAGCAAGAAUAUGAGUGAACAUCUGGAGACAGAUGAGGAGGCUCCUGCAAUAAUCUAGGUAAAUGCCUUGGGGAGCUGGACUGGUCCAGCUGCAGUAAGGAAGGCAAAAGACACAAGCACUUGAGAGAGGUGGAAGUAGAAUCAUUAGGAUUGGAAUUCUGUUUCCAGGUGACUUCCUGAAUCGUCUCUUUUUUUUUUUUUACCUUUUUUUUUAAAUUGUGGUGCCAUAUAGAUAACAUAAAAUUUACCAUUAUCCAUUUUUAAGUGUAGGGUUCUGUGGCAUGACGUUCAUUCAUGUGGUUGUAAAACCAUCACCACCAUCCAUCUCUGGAACUUUUUCAUCACUCCAGACAGAAACUCCACAUCCACUCAACAAUAACUCCCCACCACCCCUCCCCUCAACCCUGAUAACCUCAAUUCUACUUUCUGUUUCUGUGAAUCUAUCACCUCUAGACACCUCAUGUAAAUGGAAUCAUUUGUCCUUUGCAUCUGGCUUAUUUCACUCAGCAUAAUGUCUUCAAGGUUCAUCUGUAUUGUAGCAGGUGCCAGAAUUGUCUUAUUAUGGCUGAAUCCUAGUCCAUGGUCUAUUUAUAGCACCUGUUGUUUAUCCGUUCAUCUGUGGACGAGCACUUGCGCUGUUUCCACA